rnacentral:rRNA from 1 species
AAUGAACGCUGGCGGCAUGCCUAAUACAUGCAAGUCGAGCGGACGGACGAGAAGCGUUCUUCUCUGAUGUUAGCGACGGGCGGGUGAGUACACGUGAAUUACCUACCUAUAAGACUGGGCGAACUUAGGGAGACCGUAGUAAAUACCGGAUACUAUUUUGAACCGCGUGGGUCCAAAGGGAAAGACGGUCUUGCUGUCACGUAUAGAUGGAUCCGCGCUGCGUUAGCUAGUUGGUAAGGUAACGGCUUACCAAGGCAACGAUGCAUAGCCGAACUGAGAGGGUGAUCGGCCCCACUGGAACUGAGACACGGUCCAGACUCCUACGGGAGGCAGCAGUAGGGAAUUUUCCGCAAUGGGCGAAAGCCUGACGGAGCAACGCCGCGUGAGUGAUGAAGGUCUUCGGAUUGUAAAACUCUUUUAUUAGGGAAGAACAUAUGUGUAAUUAACUCUGCACAUUUUGACGGUACCUAAACAGAAAGCCACGGCUAACUUCGUG